rnacentral:rRNA from 1 species
GGCGGACGGGUGAGUAAUGCCUAGGAAUCUGCCUGGUAGUGGGGGACAACGUUUCGAAAGGAACGCUAAUACCGCAUACGUCCUACGGGAGAAAGCAGGGGACCUUCGGGCCUUGCGCUAUCAGAUGAGCCUAGGUCGGAUUAGCUAGUUGGUGGGGUAAAGGCCUACCAAGGCGACGAUCCGUAACUGGUCUGAGAGGAUGAUCAGUCACACUGGAACUGAGACACGGUCCAGACUCCUACGGGAGGCAGCAGUGGGGAAUAUUGGACAAUGGGCGAAAGCCUGAUCCAGCCAUGCCGCGUGUGUGAAGAAGGUCUUCGGAUUGUAAAGCACUUUAAGUUGGGAGGAAGGGCAGUAAGCUAAUACCUUGCUGUUUUGACGUUACCAACAGAAUAAGCACCGGCUAACUUCGUGCC